rnacentral:rRNA from 1 species
GAUGAACGCUGGCGGCGUGCCUAAUACAUGCAAGUCGAGCGAAGCGGGGACGGGUGAGUAACACGUGGAUAACCUCCUAUAAGACUGGGAUAACUUCGGGAAACCGUAGCUAAACCGGAUACUUAUAGAUGGAUCCGCGCUGCAUUAGCUAGUUGGUAAGGUAACGGCUUACCAAGGCAACGAUGCAUAGCCGACCUGAGAGGGGUGUCGGCCCCCCCGGGAAUUGAACACGGUCCAAACCCCUACGGGGGGGCGCAGUAAGGAAUCUUUCCCAAGGGGCCAAAGCCUGGCCGGGGAAACCCGCGUGGGUGAUGAAGGUCUUCGGAUCGUAAAACCUUGUUAUUAGGGAAGCGGGUCCUAAUCAGAAAGCCACGGCUAACCUCCGGCCAGCAGCCGCGGUAAUAC